GAGCUUGGCGUAUUUUACGAACUGGGGAAGUAGCAGCAGCAGAAGUCCAGAAACGGGGAGAAAUCGAAGAAAGUGGAGGCGACCAUAAAGGGUUCUCGGGACGGUGCGGCACAGGGAUUCUGCAGGAAAUGAGGGCUGCGGGAUCUCAGAGGGAAGAGAGCAAUCAGAGGUGCCAGGCGAAAGAGCAAGAUCGAGUCACCAUGACCACCAUCCAAGCCACGAAGGAUCCCCUCCUCCGGGAUCCUACACCCAGCAAGAUCCCAGUACGCUCUCGGAGACGCCCGCCUUUCCUCACAGUCAAACCGAGCGCCCAGGACCAGGAGAACCAAGAUCCAAGGACUCUGAUGGAGAAGUCUCAGCUCAGUAUUCAACGUAACUUUGUUGACUCAGCAGGCCCCAGUUCGAAAGCCACACACCAAACAGAGAAAUCACAAAGGUCGAUGGCGAUCACUCAGCUUCGGAACCCCCUGGAGGAGCUCAGGCCUAGCCCUGGGGAACAAAAUUCGGGGCUUGGGCCCCCUCCACAAACAGAAGCUCCAGGGCCUAUAGAAUUUGUGGCUGACCCUGUAGCCCUGGCUACCAUCCUAUCAGGUGAGGGGGUGAAGAGCUGUCCAAUGGGGCGUCAGUCCAGCCUGGCUCAGAGAGUACUGGUUCGAGAGAGCCAGGGAGGUACCAUCCGGCGGGGCCAGGUUUCUCGGGCCUCUGCAUACUUGGCCCCCAGGACCCCCAUGCACCAACUAGGCCCUGCCAGGGCUUCCUGCUUUUCAAGGCUGGAGGGAUCUGGACCCCGGGGUUUGACUUUGUGUCCCCAGAGGCUGAAGGCUCUGGCUCUACCUUCAGGAUCUUUUCAUGCCUCUACUCGCCCUCAUUUACAGGAGCUCAGAAGAGAGACAAGUGGCAAGAACUGGACUUCAGUGAGCCAGGUCUCAGGAUUGCUCCUGGAAACCCCUGCGCAGCCUGCUUCUCUCUCUGAAGAACAUGAAAGGAUACCUCAUUCAGAUGAAGGAGGAGGAGCUCUCCUAGGUCUGGCCCAGCGAGUACCUUUAAGAGAGACAGCACACCCUAGGGAUGGCCUGAUGGCCUCCUCUGCUCCUUUGGCCCAGUCCAUGCCUGGCCGUGUGGUACCGCCUUCUGUCACCCAUCCGUCACCCUUUGGACGGGCUCAGCGUGUACCCUCGCCUGGCAUCCCUGCUCUGGUUUGUAUUGAAAACUUGGGGGGUGAGCAGGAACAGAACAAUCUGGCCAGAGAACCCUGUUGGCCUGGGUGUUUUUCCUGCUCAGCCAUCCGCCUACCUCCCCAGACUUCAUUUUCAUUAUUGCAGCGUCUCGCCAUUCGACCCAAAACCCAGUUCACUCCAUCCACCCCCAGAGUUCAGCAGGCCCAAUGGUUGAGUGACCUCACCCCUCAGUCCUGUCCUGAAGAGCUUGCUCUGCCUUGGGAGCAGAUUGCUGUACGGUUGUUUGACCAGGACAGUGGUGUAAGGUUGCAGGAACAGUCUGGGAAACCAGCCGUGGCAAGUCCUGGAUCACACCCGAAUGGAGCCCUCAACUUCCAGGAGCUAAAAAUGCAGCGCAUCAGUAUCCUGCAGCAGUUAUUGCGUCAGGAGGUAGAAGGGCUGGCAGUGGACAAGUAUGCCCACCUUAAUGGAAGCUGCUCUCUGGAUAUGGCUGAACUUCAGCCCCUGCUGGCUGAGAUUUCUAGGACCCUGAAUGCCCCAAAGCAUAACUCUGGAACAUCCCACCUUCCUGAACUGUCACAACACUCCAAGCUGCCAGAGCCCUGCCCUUCAGAGGAGUGUGGGGAAGCACAGCCCUGCUCUGGGGUGACAGAACCAGAGCCAGACGUGAUACAACCCUGCCCACCAAUGGAGCCAGGGCCUCCAGAGUCUUGCUCUGAGGUUAGGCCAGAGACACCAGAGUCCCCUUCCCAGAAGCAGCCUGAGAAAGCAGAGCCCUGCCCACCAGUAGAGCCUGGACCCCUUCAGCCUAGCCCCCAGGGACAGACUGUGUCCGAAGAGGCCUGUCCUACUGUAGGGUUGGGGACUUGCUGCCUGGAACCAAAAUGCCUAGAGGCCAGUCCAUGGCGCUGCUGCAGUCAGAGGGCUGCAGCAACCACCAGCCUGACCUUCUCUUCCCAACGCCCCCUUUGUGCUAGCCCCCCUAUCUGCUCACUGCAGUCUACAAGGCCCCUGACAGGCCAGGCAGGUCCUAGCAGUCUGGCCCCUCAAACACUGGCCCUGAGGCAGCGCCUCAAAGCAUGUCUCACUGCUAUCCACUGCUCCCAUGAGGCUCGACUGGACGAUGAGUGUGCCUUUUACACUAGCCGAGUCCCUUCCCCAGGCCCAACUCGGGUCUGUACCAACCCUGUGGCCACACUGCUUGAAUGGCAGGACGCCCUGUGUUUCAUUCCGGUUGGUUCUGCAGCUUCUCAGAGCUCUCCAUCCUGAGGCUUCCACCUCCAACCACUUCCACCCUUCCCAGAUCACCCCUUCCCUUUAGUCCUUAUUUAUUUGGUGUUCCCAUGGAACUGGGGCCCAACAUUCUUUUAUUAACUUUAAUAAAGUUUCUAUAGUCUUUGAAUAGCCAGCUAGUGAGUCUAAAGCAUCC
rnacentral:lncRNA from 1 species